GAAGUUGCUUUCUGAGGGAGUGUGCGCGUGUGCUCUUUGUGAGAUUAUUCCACCAUGGCUUACCGUGGCCAGGGCCAGAAAGUGCAGAAGAUCAUGGUGCAGCCCGUCAACCUCAUCUUCAGAUACUUGCAAAACAGAUCCCGGAUUCAGGUGUGGCUUUAUGAGCAAGUGAAUAUGCGGGUAGAGGGCUGUAUCAUUGGCUUUGAUGAGUAUAUGAACCUUAUAUUAGAUGAUGCAGAAGAGAUUCAUUCUAAAACAAAGUCAAGAAAACAACUGGGUCGGAUCAUGCUAAAAGGAGAUAAUAUUACCCUGCUGCAAAGUGUCUCCAACUAGAAAUGAUCAAUGAAGUGAGAAAUUGUUGAGAGUGCAAUAUAGUUUUUUUUUUUUUUAAGGUGUCCUUUGUUUUGAGUAUAGUUCAAAAACAUUUGUUCAUAUUGUUUUGAUUACCCUUAUGUUAUUACAAGAUGACAAUAAAUGCUGUGGGAUUGUU